ACGUGAUCUGAGUUCAGACCGGAGUAAUCCAGGUCAGUUUCUAUCUAUAUAGGGCUUUUUCUAGUACGAAAGGACCAAAAAAGCACGGCCUAUGCCUGAGGUAAGCCGCAUUCAUUAAUCUAUGAUUUAAACUUAAUAGACAGUUGACCUAUAACCUUAUUCUAGACAAGAGUG
rnacentral:rRNA from 1 species